rnacentral:rRNA from 1 species
CCUACGGGAGGCAGCAGUGAGGAAUAUUGGUCAAUGGACGAGAGUCUGAACCAGCCAAGUAGCGUGAAGGAUGACUGCCCUAUGGGUUGUAAACUUCUUUUAUAUGGGAAUAAAAUGUUCCACGUGUGGGAUUUUGUAUGUACCAUAUGAAUAAGGAUCGGCUAACUCCGUGCCAGCAGCCGCCGUAAUACGGGGGAGCCGAGCGUUUUCCGGAUUUUUUGGGUUUAAAGGGAGGCUCUGUGGAUUGUUAAGUCAGUUGUGAAAGUUUGCGGCUCAACCGUAAAAUUGCAGUUGAAACUGGCAGUCUUGAGUACAGUAGAGGUGGGCGGAAUUCGUGGUGUAGCGGUGAAAUGCUUAGAUAGCACGAAGAACUCCGAUUGCGAAGGCAGCUCACUGGACUGCAACUGACACUGAGGCUCGAAAGUGUGGGUAUCGAACAGGAUUAGAUACCCCUGUAGUC